rfam:Bombyx mori DNA, contig: Bm_scaf84_contig33369, strain: p50T/Dazao, build 2, whole genome shotgun sequence.
CCACGGUGAAAAGGGUGUUAAAUGAAGACUUAGGGCUUCAGGCAUAUCGAAUAAAAACAGGACAUCGUUUUAAUGCUCGUCUAAUGGA